rnacentral:rRNA from 1 species
AGCGAACGUUAGCGGCGGGCCUAACACAUGCAAGUCGAACGAGAAAGUCCUUCGGGAUGAGUACAGUGGCGCACGGGUGAGGAACGCGUAGGUAAUCUACCCUCUGGCGGGGGACAACACUCCGAAAGGAAUGCUAAUACCGCAUAAGACCACACGUACCACGGUGCGAGUGGUAAAAGGCGCCCCAAAGCGUCACCAGAGGAUGAGCCUGCGUCCCAUCAGCUUGUUGGUGAGGUAACGGCUUACCAAGGCGAAGACGGGUAGCUGGUCUGAGAGGAUGAUCAGCCACACUGGCACUGGAACACGGGCCAGACUCCUACGGGAGGCAGCAGUGAGGAAUAUUGGGCAAUGGGCGAAAGCCUGACCCAGCCACGCCGCGUGUGUGAUGAAGGCCUUCGGGUCGUAAAGCACUGUGGAGAGGGACGAAAACGCGCAGGAGGAAAUGCCUGCGUCUUGACGGUACCUCUUUAGCAAGCACCGGCUAACUCU